rnacentral:piRNA from 1 species
UUUCAAAACUUACCAAAUUGU